UACGAAGGGGGCUAGCGUUGCUCGGAAUUACUGGGCGUAAAGCGUGCGUAGGCGGUUUUUUAAGUCAGACGUGAAAUCCCCGGGCUUAACCUGGGAAUGGCAUUUGGGACUGCAAGGCUGGAGUUUGGCAGAGGAGACUGGAAUUCCCGGUGUAGCGGUGAAAUGCGCAGAUAUCGGGAGGAACACCGGUGGCGAAGGCGGUUCUCUGGGCCUGUACUGACGCUGAGGAGCGAAAGCGUGGGGAGCGAACAGG
rnacentral:rRNA from 1 species